ensembl:snRNA U6 U6 spliceosomal RNA
GUGCUCGCUUUGGCGGCACAUGUACUAAUAUUGGAAAAAUACAGAGAUUAGCACGGCCCCUGUGCAAGGAUGACACGCAAAUAAUGUUUAAGCAUUUAGU